AGAGUUUGAUCCUGGCUCAGGACGAACGCUGGCGGCGUGCUUAACACAUGCAAGUCGAACGGAAAGGUCUCUUCUGAGAUACUCGAGUGGCGAACGGGUGAGUAACACGUGGGUAAUCUGCCCUGCACUUCGGGAUAAGCCUGGGAAACUGGGUCUAAUACCCGGAUAGGACCAUGAGGCGCAUGCCUUGUGGUGGAAAGCUUUUUGCGGUGUGGGAUGGGCCCGCGGCCUAUCAGCUUGUUGGCGGGGUGACGGCCCACCAAGGCGACGACGGGUAGCCGGCCUGAGAGGGUGUCCGGCCACACUGGGACUGAGAUACGGCCCAGACUCCUACGGGAGGCAGCAGUGGGGAAUAUUGCACAAUGGGCGCAAGCCUGAUGCAGCGACGCCGCGUGGGGGAUGACGGCCUUCGGGUUGUAAACCUCUUUCACCAUCGGCGAAGGUCCGGGUUUUCUCGGAUUGACGGUAGGUGGAGAAGAAGCACCGGCCAACUACGUGCCAGCAGCCGCGGUAAUACGUAGGGUGCGAGCGUUGUCCGGAAUUACUGGGCGUAAAGAGCUCGUAGGUGGUUUGUCGCGUUGUUCGUGAAAUCUCACGGCUUAACUGUGAGCGUGCGGGCGAUACGGGCAGACUGGAGUACUGCAGGGGAGACUGGAAUUCCCGGUGUAGCGGUGGAAUGCGCAGAUAUCAGGAGGAACACCGGUGGCGAAGGCGGGUCUCUGGGCAGUAACUGACACUGAGGAGCGAAAGCGUGGGGAGCGAACAGGAUUAGAUACCCCCGUAGUCC
rnacentral:rRNA from 1 species